rnacentral:sRNA from 1 species
GAAGCAAUUUGAGUUUAAACU